rnacentral:ncRNA from 2 species
AAUAUUUACCGUCUCCGAGCCGAUCCGCCUAAGGGUUUAAGACCUAAGGGGUAUCGGCCGAUCAGGGCGUGGCUGGAAACGGCCAGCGCCUCCCGUGUUUGGAAAGGAGAUAAAGGUCGCUUUUA